UUUCAAAUGGCCCAAGCUCAGUUUUCGUUGAAUGUGAAGUGUGUGUACGUAGAUGGGGAAAGCGGUUGACUGUGGAACUGGGAUAAUGUUGAUAUUUGUAUCGGGACAAAGUGGGGGGAUGGAGAUCGGGAAGACAAAAAACGUGGUAGUGGAGAAACAAGUAGCAAGAGCAAACACCUCCUUACAGAGUAGCACGAUAAUAACAAUACCACCAAAAAAACCCGAUUACGGUAGAUGAGGACAAGGUUACGUUCACGUGAACAAGCAAAUAUGGACACCAACGAGUCUAAGGAUAAAGAAGAAGAAAAAAAUUGAGUAUGGGAGAUGGGAUGGAUUUGCGAAGAAAAUCAGCAAAAACAACAAAGUCAAUGUGGAAUUCAAACGAAGCCCGGUAGAGGAAAUAGAAGGAAACUGCGACGAAGUAAAGGAGAAGGAAUACCACAGUAUAGUAUAAUAAGAAAGGGAAAA